rnacentral:piRNA from 1 species
ACAGGAGGAUGUCUUUUUGAACAUGUU